UCUAAAAUUGUACUAUCAUUAAUAAAAAUGUAAACAUUAUUAUUUUGAGUUAAUAUAUAGAUAUGACCAUAAAAUUAAAAUUUGGCCUAUAAAUAAAAAUAUUAAAAAUUGGCCAAUUUUUAUGCAGGAAGUCAGAAAUACUCCUCUCCCAAAAACCUAAAAUUAUCGCUCUCUCUCUUUCUCUCUCCCUCUCCCUCUCCCUCCCGUCCGCCGCGCCGCCGCCACUCAAUCUCCGGCUAUCGCAGCGGCAGCGCCGCACAGCCACCACCACCGCGACGCCUCUAUAAAAAAAUCUGCUUCCGUUCAUCCGUCCGCCGUAAAACUUGAUUAGAUCGAUGAAGAUGCAUUCGGGCGUGUCGAAUUUCUCGAUGUGGUCCAGAACUUGCAGCAUUUGGUCGCGGCAAUUUGCAGGGCGGUUUUGAAUCAGGAUUUUGAAGAGGAAAUGGUAUGACUGCGGAGACGGUUCGACUUCGUAAGCAGCGCAGACGUUGAUUUGAAGAGGAAAUGGUAUGACUGCGGAGACGUUGAUUUGAAGAUAAUGCUGGUGUUAUUGUAAACUCAAAGGGGGAAAUGAAAGGUUAUGCUAUUACCGGUCCAAAUGGAAAGGAAUGCGCCGAUUUGUGGCCGAGGAUUGCUAGUGCUGCGAAUGCCAUUGUUUGACAGCUUAUGGCUUAUGAAGUCUCUGGAAUCAAACCAAGCAAAUGUUGUAAUUUCUUGAGAAUUAUGCCUUUACCUAAUGAGAUUUCGAUUGGUGAAAUGUUUUAUUUUAAUGUUUUUAGAGUUUGUGGUUGGCUUGCUUGGUACAGUUAAGUGCCAUUUAUCUUGACUCGAAAUAGAGGAUAUACUUAUCGAGAAUUGUAAUUGUAAUUGUUAAUCGAGUAAUUAAGGUUCUUUUAAUUAAUAUAGCACAAUAGCUAUUGUAUCUAAUCGAGUAAGAAUGUGGA
rnacentral:lncRNA from 1 species